GAUGAACGCUGGCGGCGUGCCUAAUACAUGCAAGUCGAGCGAACGGACGAGAAGCUUGCUUCUCUGAUGUUAGCGGCGGACGGGUGAGUAACACGUGGAUAACCUACCUAUAAGACUGGGAUAACUUCGGGAAACCGGAGCUAAUACCGGAUAAUAUUUUGAACCGCAUGGUUCAAAAGUGAAAGACGGUCUUGCUGUCACUUAUAGCUGGAUCCGCGCUGCAUUAGCUAGUUGGUAAGGUAACGGCUUACCAAGGCAACGAUGCAUAGCCGACCUGAGAGGGUGAUCGGCCACACUGGAACGGAGACACGGUCCAGACUACUACGGGAGGCAGCAGUAGGGAAUGUGCGGCAAUGGGCGAAAGCCUGACGGAGCAAGGCCGCGUGAGUGAUGAAGGUCUUCGGAUCGGAAAACUCUGUUAUUAGGGAAGAACAUAUGUGUAAGUAAAUGUGCACAUCUUGACGGUACCUAAUCAGAAAGCAACGGCUAACUACGUG
rnacentral:rRNA from 1 species